GGAUAACACUUGGAAACAGGUGCUAAUACCGUAUAACACUAUUUUCCGCAUGGAAGAAAGUUGAAAGGCGCUUUUGCGUCACUGAUGGAUGGACCCGCGGUGCAUUAGCUAGUUGGUGAGGUAACGGCUCACCAAGGCCACGAUGCAUAGCCGACCUGAGAGGGUGAUCGGCCACACUGGGACUGAGACACGGCCCAGACUCCUACGGGAGGCAGCAGUAGGGAAUCUUCGGCAAUGGACGAAAGUCUGACCGAGCAACGCCGCGUGAGUGAAGAAGGUUUUCGGAUCGUAAAACUCUGUUGUUAGAGAAGAACAAGGAUGAGAGUAAAAUGUUCAUCCCUUGACGGUAUCUAUCCAGAAAGCCACGGCUAACUACGUGCCAGCAGCCGCGGUAAUACGUAGGUGGCAAGCGUUGUCCGGAUUUAUUGGGCGUAAAGCGAGCGCAGGCGGUUUCUUAAGUCUGAUGUGAAAGCCCCCGGCUCAACCGGGGAGGGUCAUUGGAAACUGGGAGACUUGAGUGCAGAAGAGGAGAGUGGAAUUCCAUGUGUAGCGGUGAAAUGCGUAGAUAUAUGGAGGAACACCAGUGGCGAAGGCGGCUCUCUGGUCUGUAACUGACGCUGAGGCUCGAAAGCGUGGGGAGCGAACAGGAUUAGAUACCCUGGUAGUCCACGCCGUAAACGAUGAGUAUAGAGUGUUGGAGGGUUUCCGCCCUUCAGUGCUGCA
rnacentral:rRNA from 1 species